GGGAAGUAGCGUCGGAAACUAAUAUCCUAUCUAAUAGUAUCAAUUGACUAAAUAACAAAUCAACAAUCAUUAUAAGGAUAAAAUGUAACAAAAGUUGUUGAUAUUCAAAUUUAAUAGAUUUAUCUUGUAUACAUCAAACAGUAAGUUUUCUGUAUUUUAGAAUCUACCUUUUGAAUUUUACGAUGUUAAUAUCAAAUUCUGCAAACAUAUUAUGUUUGCCUAUUUGUUUAGUAAUUGUAUACUAGUUUAGUAUAUAUAUAUGAGAAAAUAGUACGUUUUCAAUAUCUUAUAAUCAAAGAAUUGUAUGAUAGUUAGUAGCAAUGCCAAAUUGUUUGAACCAAUUAAGAUUUUCCUGUACAUUAAAAACACAUAUACUUUACUUAAAAAAAGUUUAGAAAAACAACUUAUGAUUGAAAAUGAAGUAAAAGAAAAUAUAUAUUGAUCAUUCAAGUUAAAUUUGCGAUUGUGUUUAUCUGCAAUUAUUUUUGUAUCCAUAAGUACUACAGUAGCAGUAUAUGUAUUAUAAGUCAAAAUUAAGUUAGCUACAUAGAAGGGCUUCUUUUUUACCCUUUACUAUUUUAUUAUUAAUUUGUCGUAUUUAAAAGUAUUUCCCACAACGAAAUGAGCCUUUAAAGUUUGAACCCAAUUUAUUUCAAUGGAAACGUUGCAUAACUUUAUUUAUCAUAGCAGUUGUUUAUAUAUUAAAGUAAAUAACGUAAAUGUAAAAGUAUACAUAAAAGAGACAAGAGAUGUUAAAUUCAAAAUAUUUUAUUGUUCAAAUAUCAAAUAUAAAAGGUACAUUUAAACAAAGGUACGGGAAAAAAGGCAAUGCCGUUACAAACCCUUUCCUAUACAAAUCCAAGCAACACAUCGUUGUAAACAAAAUGGAAUGAUUUGCGACUGUCAUACAAGUGAGAGGUUUAGCUAGCUGUGAAACCAGGUGUAAUUUACUAUUUUCUACAUCAGAAAAAAAUGCCUGUACAAAGCCAGGAAUAUGACAGUUGUAUUCGAUUAAUAUGUUUCAGAGUUUGAUCUUGCCAUUUGAUCACGGACUUCUCGUUUUGAUUUUUCCUUGAAGUUCGCAACUUUUGUAAGUUUAUUUUUUGGCAGAUAAGAUGCUUUGAAGACAGUGAAAGAACUAACAAAAUCCUAAAUCUAAAAAAAUGCCGGACAAAAGCAUGGCAUACAAUUAAGACAAACAACUACGGUCACAGUCUAUAUACAACAUCAUAUGUGCAUGUUGCAUCAGUGUGAGCGAAGGCUCCGUGUCGAAGGCCGUACUUUGACCAAUAAUUAUUUACUUUUUACAUAUUUUGGAUUUCUAUAUAUGAUAUACAUGUAUUUAGUUUACAUAUCUACAGGUACAUUUAUUACUUUCAAACGCAAACCUACUGAAAAUUAUAUUUAAAAUCUGUUUAACUCUCUUUUUUUCAUCUUUUGUUAAUAGAUGAAGUACAAAUUAUUAUUCGUAAUAGUCAUCAUGGUCCUGUUUAUUUGCCAUGUUUCAAUAGUAUCAACAAAGGCAUUGACUUUUAUGAAUAACUGUAGACUGUGCAAUUCACAUUAUAACAAAAUAUGUGUUCAACAACCAUGCUCGCCUGGUGAGUCUGGACUACAGAGCUUCGGCAACAUAAUAGACACAGUGUGUAUGCAGAAAUGCAGUGACCUUUUCCGCACGUGUAAAAGAAUUUGUGGACAUUAAUUGAGAUGUCACAAAUACACCAGAAACUCUGAAAAUGACAAUGGGAUGUAUUGUAGAUAGUGUUUUAUUAUGAAUAAAGUUUGACUUAGAAAAAGGGCAUGCUAUUGUUUUUGAUUGAACACGUGAUAACAAGGAUUUUAGAAAGCUAUAUUUUUAUAUAUUGUGCCAUGACUUCAACAUAGAUAUAUAAUAUAAAUACUGUUU
rnacentral:lncRNA from 1 species